GAUUUACAUUUCCAAAAUAUAAGAUAAAAAACAAAUAAAAUGGCUUUAGAUACCUGUUAGGUCCAAAAAUUACCAUAUAGCAUAUAUUCAACACAAAAAACAGCGUCAAUUUGUUGUUGACAAAGGACAGCUGGACAUAUAAAGGGCCCCAUUACCUUCAGUAGCUUAGGGCCUCAUCAAACCUAAAUCUGGCCCUGCCUAUGUCAUACAUCACCAGGACACUCUUUUAAUUUCUGGUCAUCUGGGGUCAUGACACAUUCAGCACUGUUGAUUGGAUUAAAAUAUUGUAGAUCUUGAAGGUGGCAAUCCCUUGGUCAUGAACGAUAUGGUAGGGCAUGUCACAAAACAUAUAUUAGGAUGCUGGGACAUAUCAAAUUUAGCUCUUUGUUAAGUUUUCUGACUGAACUGUGUUUUGGGCUUCAGCACCCUUUUGCUACCUGACUCUGGACUAGGUCAACCUUCUCCGACUCCCAUACAAGCUUGAGAGGGGAAAGAAAUUAGGGGCUUGUGAAAUGGUAGUGUCUACUUGUACCCCUGCCUGUAAAAUAUCCUUGUACAGUUCCCUAAAAUCAUGGUUAUGUUCAUGUUCACAGCUCUGCUGAUUAUUAUAUAUGGACCCUGGUGGGUUUUGCCUAUUUAAGUCUUUGGAAGAGAUUGGGUCCACACUGCCCAUUCUCAAGGCACACAAUGGGUUUUUUUUAGCCCAACUCAUUGAAAUUAAUGCCACAGCUAACUCAGGUUAAUCAAUUUCCGUGGGUCUGUUGUGAGUAAAAAUUAGUCUGAUAUGAUCCGGAGAGUUGGCAUCCAAUGUUAAUUAUACUCUGAGCCGACCCACUGAAAUAAACGGGCAUAAAAAAUGUAGGUCCAUUCUAUUCAUUCAGUGGGUGUUUUCUGACUAACCUUGGUUACAAAGCCACGAUUCGGUGUUCCAUUGGUGGACCUAUUUUGAGUCCUUUUUAAAAAUUGUUUUUAUUAAAGAUUUUCUUGGGUUACAAAAGUACAUACAUUGUUCCUAUUUUCAGAUCAUAAAGUCAUUUCUACAGAUCAAUUAUAUUCGAUGUGAGACUUUAAUAUUGUAUACAGUAUAAGGCUGGGGGAGAAGUGAGAAGGGGAGAGAAAAAAGUGGGGGGAGAAAGGGAGUAGUAAACUUUCAUUCUUUUACAUAGUGUAUGUGCGAGGUUUUUGUCUCAGUAUCACAUGGGUAGAUUCUCUUUCUAUUUGUCUUCAUUGGCAGUGAGAGAGGUUGAGGGCCCCGGAUAUGGUUGGUUGCCUUCGGUUGACUGCAGUGAGUUUUGUUUGUUGUGUGUGAGGGUACGGGGUUGUUGGGUCAAGUUAGCCAUAUUGAUUUGUAUGUUUUUGGUGGGUUCUUGUUGUCUUGUUGGGCUGUGUGUGUGUAAUAAAGGGGAGCCACACUCGGGUGAAGGUGUCCACUUUUGUUUGUCCACGUUUGUUAGUUUGUUGCUUAAGUUUCCUAGUAAGGCUGUUUCCCAUACCGUUUGGUACCAGUGGUACAUGUUCACUCCUGACAGGUCCCUCCAGUGUCUAGCUAUGAUGCUGCUGGGUUAUAAGCUCUCUGUAAUGUGAGUGUGUGUUAUUGUCUUGGAAAAUAUUCUAUAGGGCCAGUUCUGGGGUGGCUUCUAAUACCUGUUUAGUUAUUUCACAUAUUUCUUGUAGGACUGAUGUCCAAAAGGGUUGGAUUUGGGGGCAAUCCCCACCACACAUGGAGGUAUGUGCCUGUAGAGGUACAACCUCUCCAGCAUUUUGGUGAGGUUCCUUGAUAUAUCAGUGCCGACUUCUGUGGUGUUAGGUACCAUCUAUAGAUAAGUUUCAAGGGGAGAUGGAUUUAGAUCACAGUUUAUUCCAUUGGGUAGGGUUUAUUUUAUAGUCUAUGUCAUGCUCCCAUUGUUUUUUGAUUAAGAUGAGGAGGUUACUAGGAUUCUGGAGCAGUAUUUUUAUAUUGUGGCUACCCUGUUUUGAGUCUUAGGAGAAAAUAGCUUUGAAUUAGAUCUCUUUAUAACCCUUUCAAAAUCUCGCCUGCCAUUGUGGUGGGAUGGAAGGCAGCCAUUGUUUAGACCAGCAGUGGGCAAUAUCCUCUCACCCCCUGGGGAGCUGAAGGUGCUAUGAAAGAUGUAUUAAUGCUGUGUUCACACUUUUCUUGCUUUUACUUUUGGGUAGGUUUUUGUAUUGUUUCAAUAACCUGCUUGACCAGAGUGCCUGGUAAGACAUCAACAAAUGUGUAUAUGAGGAAGUGGAACUUUUACUCAAAGCACUUUCCAAUGCUUAUUGAAACAUUUUUUUCUGACCCACCUACCACAGAAAAGUAGGGUGCCAUACUAUUCUGGAUUUUUUUUUGUCUAUGUAUGUAUUUAUUUACAUAGUACUUUUUGUAUGUAUAAUUCUAAGCACCAUAUCAUGGGGUCCCUGGUGGUCUCCCAUCUGGGCACCUCAGGAGACCUGCCAAGUGUCCCUAUUUUCCAGGGACAGCCCCAGAUUUACAGAAGCCAUUGUGACACCUCCCUCUGCUGGCUCACUGGUCACCAAAGUGCUAAAAGGCCUGGUGAGCUCCUAUGGUUGGAUUGUUUUGCGUUUGUUACAGGAAGAAGAUAGACAUGUAAGUAGGAUUUCUCUCAGCAUCUGCAUUCUGUGAUGAUAGUGAUUUCCUCUUGAGCUUAGAGGCAUUAGAGAGUACUUACUAUGAGUCCCAUUUCUCUUUCUUUUCUAGACUUUCAAGGCUGAGAAAAGUCUUUUCCCGUCUGGGAAGAAAAAAUAAAAUUUCUCCUUUCCCAGAGACCUCCUCCUCGCCCACCAGUUCUCCCUCCGCCUCACCCUCCAGACCCCUCUUUCAGAAGACUGCAAAGCAUCUGUCCUCAGCAUGGUGCCCUCUAGCAGUUGUUGAGACUCCAGUUCCCAUCCCUGCUGACUAUUGAUGAGGGUAACAACCAUCUUGCUGCAGCUAAGAAAACCUGAGUCUGGAUGGGUGGCCACCUGGGAACCACAUGUCUGCCACCAUGGGUUCCACGGAGUCAGCAUGCAGAGUUUGUGGCUGCCCAGAACUUGGAAGCACUGCAUCAUCAUGGAUCUUGCUUCUCUCCAACCCAGAUUUCAGCAAAGAGGGUG